AUUGAACGCUGGCGGCAGGCCUAACACAUGCAAGUCGAGCGGAUGAAGGGAGCUUGCUCCUGGAUUCAGCGGCGGACGGGUGAGUAAUGCCUAGGAAUCUGCCUGGUAGUGGGGGAUAACGUCCGGAAACGGGCGCUAAUACCGCAUACGUCCUGAGGGAGAAAGUGGGGGAUCUUCGGACCUCACGCUAUCAGAUGACCCUAGGUCGGAUUAGCUAGUUGGUGGGGUAAAGGCCUACCAAGGCGACGAUCCGUAACUGGUCUGAGAGGAUGAUCAGUCACACUGGAACUAAGAUACGGUCAAGAAUCCUACGGAAGGGACCAGUGGGGAAUAUUGGACACUGGGCGAAAGCCUGAUCCAGCCAUGCCGCGUGUGUGAAGAAGGUCUUCGGAUUGUAAAGCACUUUAAGUUGGGAGGAAGGGCAGUAAGUUAAUACCUUGCUGUUUUGACGUUACCAACAGAAUAAGCACCGGCUAACUUCGUG
rnacentral:rRNA from 1 species